rnacentral:rRNA from 1 species
UCUGGUUGAUCCUGCCAGUAGUUAUAUGCUUGUCUCAAAGAUUAAGCCAUGCAUGUCUAAGUACACACGAAUUAAAAGUGAAACCGCAAAAGGCUCAUUAUAUCAGUUAUGGUUCCUUAGAUCGUUAACAGUUACUUGGAUAACUGUGGUAAUUCUAGAGCUAAUACAUGCAAUUAAAACAUGAACCUUAUGGGACAUGUGCUUUUAUUAGGCUAAAACCAAGCGAUCGCAAGAUCGUUAUAUUGGUUGAACUCUAGAUAACAUGCAGAUCGUAUGGUCUUGUACCGACGACAGAUCUUUCAAAUGUCUGCCCUAUCAACUUUCGAUGGUAGUAUCUAGGACUACCAUGGUUGCAACGGGUAACGGGGAAUCAGGGUUCGAUUCCGGAGAGGGAGCCUGAGAAACGGCUACCACAUCUAAGGAAGGCAGCAGGCGCGUAAAUUACCCACUCCCAGCUCGGGGAGGUAGUGACGAAAAAUAACAAUACAGGACUCAUAUCCGAGGCCCUGUAAUUGGAAUGAGUACACUUUAAAUCCUUUAACAAGGACCAAUUGGAGGGCAAGUCUGGUGCCAGCAGCCGCGGUAAUUCCAGCUCCAAUAGCGUAUAUUAAAGUUGUUGCGGUUAAAACGUUCGUAGUUGAACUUGUGCUUCAUACGGGUAGUACAACUUACAAUUGUGGUUAGUACUAUACCUUUAUGUAUGUAAGCGUAUUACCGGUGGAGUUCUUAUAUGUGAUUAAAUACUUGUAUUUUUUCAUAUGUUCCUCCUAUUUAAAAACCUGCACUAGUGCUCUUAAACGAGUGUUAUUGUGGGCCGGUACUAUUACUUUGAACAAAUUAGAGUGCUUAAAGCAGGCUUCAAAUGCCUGAAUAUUCUGUGCAUGGGAUAAUGAAAUAAGACCUCUGUUCUGCUUUCAUUGGUUUUCAGAUCAAGAGGUAAUGAUUAAUAGAAGCAGUUUGGGGGCAUUAGUAUUACGACGCGAGAGGUGAAAUUCUUGGACCGUCGUAAGACUAACUUAAGCGAAAGCAUUUGCCAAAGAUGUUUUCAUUAAUCAAGAACGAAAGUUAGAGGUUCGAAGGCGAUCAGAUACCGCCCUAGUUCUAACCAUAAACGAUGCCAGCUAGCAAUUGGGUGUAGCUACUUUUAUGGCUCUCUCAGUCGCUUCCCGGGAAACCAAAGCUUUUGGGCUCCGGGGGAAGUAUGGUUGCAAAGCUGAAACUUA